rnacentral:lncRNA from 1 species
UGCAGCAUCAAUAACAAUCACUCAAUUCAACAAAUUUGACCAUAAGGCUUUCUAGCAUUAGGCAUAGCUCACAAUGAUAAUAUGAUCAGCACAUAAAAUAAGUGAAUUAAUCACUUUAGAUGCCUCAACAGACCAUACACUAUCCAAAAGACCGCCUAAUCCUUCUUGUCAUUUGAUGCAAAGCUUACUCGUCAUGUUCAUGACUUAGAGAACACUUACGAAGUUCGUAAGCUCACAUAUCUCUGACACUAGAUAGAGGUCGAGGUAUGAGAUCGAUAUAUAAAUAGUACCUCCGUUAGUUUCUCAGUGAAAUGACAUCUAUUUUCACUUAAUCUCUGCUAGUCUGGCCAUUCCCUGAUCGUGCUUCA